rnacentral:rRNA from 1 species
GACGAACGCUGGCGGCGCGCUUAACACAUGCAAGUCGAGCGAAGCGGCGGACGGGUGAGUACCACGUGAGUAACCUGCAUUAGACAUUUGGAUAGCCUCGGGAAACCGGGAAUAAUACCAAAUGGUCUAAGAUGGACUCGCGUCCCAUUAGCUAGUUGGUGGGUAACGGGCCACCAAGGCGACGAUGGGUAGCCGGCCUGAGAGGGUGAACGGACACAUGGGAACUGAGAAACGGUCCAAACUCUACGGGAGGCAGCAGUGGUGAAUAUAGCACAAUGGAGGGAACUCUGAUGCAGCGACGCCGCGUGAGCGAAGAAGGCUGUCGAGUCGUAAAGUUCUUUUAUAUGGGAAGCGGUACCAUAAGAAAAAGCCCCGGCUAACUACGUGCCAGCAGCCGCGGUAAUUC